rnacentral:tRNA from 1 species
UGUAAUGUAGUUUAUUUUAAAAUUCUUAUUUUACACGUAAGAGAACUUUGUGUUAA